rnacentral:tRNA from 1 species
GGCGCCGUGGCAUAGUUGGUUAAAGCGCCUGUCUAAUAAACAGUAGAUCGUGAGUUUGUAUCUCACUGGUGCCU